rnacentral:rRNA from 1 species
AUGGCCUUACACAUGCAAGUCGCACGGACAGCAAUGGCAGUGGCGGACGGGUGAGUAACACGUAGGAAUCUAUCCUGGGGUGGGGGACACAGCGGGAAACGCUGCUAAUACCGCAUGAUACCUGAGGGUCAAAGGCGCAAGUCGCCUUGGGAGGAGCCUGCGUCUGAUUAGCUUGUUGGUGGGGUAAAGGCCUACCAAGGCGACGAUCAGUAGCUGGUCUGAGAGGAUGAUCAGCCCAUUUGGGGACUGAAACCCGGCCCAAACUCCUUACGGGAAGGCAACAAUGGGAAUAUUGGAUCAUGGGGGCAACCCCUGAUCUAAAAUUCCCCGUGGUGAAGAAAGUCUUCCGAAUUGUAAACACUUUUUGGCAGGACC